rnacentral:rRNA from 1 species
UACGGGGGGGGCAAGCGUUGUUCGGAAUUACUGGGCGUAAAGGGCUCGUAGGCGGCCAACUAAGUCGGAUGUGAAAUCCCCAGGCUCAACCUGGGAACUGCAUCCGAUACUGGAUGGCUUGAAUUCGGGAGAGGGAUGCAGAAUUCCAGGUGUAGCGGUGAAAUUCGUAGAUAUCUGGAGGAACACCGGUGGCGAAGGCGGCAUCCUGGACCGACACUGACACUGAGGAGCGAAAGCCAGGGGAGCAAACGGG